rnacentral:ncRNA from 1 species
UAAAAGUUUUAUUCUUGCUUGAAAUUUUAUUUAUAAUUUAUUUUACAUGUAAAUUUUUGUAUGAAUUAAUUUUUUUCUUAAAGAAUUAGAUUAUUUAUAAUAUUCGCAGUAAUUAAUAUUAUUUAUUAAGGUAACUUAGAAAUAGAAAUAUUAUAUAAUAUUGGUAAAAUUCGUGCCAGCUACCGCGGUUAAACGAAAGAUAUAAAUAAAAUAUUUUAAUUAUAGUUAAAUUAUAUACUAUUUUAAAAAUAAAAUUAAUUUUAUUAAGUGAAAUUUUAAAAUUAAAUAAUUUUUAUUUAUAAAUUAAUUGAGGCUAAAAAAUUUUAUAAAAAACUAGGAUUAGAUACCCUAUUAUUUAAAAUGUAAAUUUAAAAAUUAAAGUAGUAUUAGAUAUGUUCUUGAAACUUAAAGAAUUUGGCGGUAUUUUAGUCUAUUCAGAGGAACCUGUUCUAUAAUCGAUAUUCCACGUUGAAUCUUACUUAAAUUUGUUUAAUUUGUAUACCGCUGUUAUAGAAUAUUUUAUAAGAAAAAUAAUUUUCAAUAAUUUAUAUAAAAAUUAAUGUCAAGUCAAGGUGCAGUUUAUGUUUAAGAAGAAAUGGGUUACAAUAGUAUUAUUUAUUACGAAUAUAAAAUUUAAAUAUUUUAUUGAAGGUGGAUUUGAUAGUAAUUUUUUAAAGAUUAUAGAUUUGAUUUUAGCUCUAAAAUAUGCACAUAUCGCCCGUCGCUCUUAUUUUUAAAAUAAGAUAAGUCGUAACAUAGUAGAUGUACUGGAAAGUGUAUCUAGAAUGAC